CAGGUUCCCUGGUGCAGGCAGCAGUGACUCAGCCGGCCUCGGUGUCAGCAAACCCAGGAGAAACCGUCAAGAUCACCUGCUCCGGGGGUGGUAGCAGCAGCUACUAUGGCUGUUACUACUAUGGCUGGUACCAGCAGAAGGCACCUGGCAGUGCCCCUGUCACUCUGAUCUAUGACAACACCAACAGACCCUCGAACAUCCCUUCACGAUUCUCCGGCUCCCCAGGCAGAACCACAAGCACAUUAACCAUCACUGGGGUCCAAGUCGAGGACGAGGCUGUCUAUUACUGGGGGAACUGGGAUGACAGCACUGAUGCUGUAUGGUGACGAUGAUUAAUUGGAGGAGAGAGAUAGAACUUAGAACUGUAGGAAGUU